GCAACUCGCCUGCAUGAAGUUGGAAUUGCUAGUAAUCGCGAAUCAGAAUGUCGCGGUGAAUACGUUCCCGGGCCUUGUACACACCGCCCGUCAACACCAUGAGAGUCGAUAACACCCGAAGCCUGUGAGCUAACCUUUUAGGAGGCAGCAGUCGAAGGUGGGGUUGAUGAUUGGGGUGAAGUCGUAACAAGGUACC
rnacentral:rRNA from 1 species